rnacentral:rRNA from 1 species
UGGGGAAUUUUGCGCAAUGGGCGAAAGCCUGACGCAGCAACGCCGCGUGGAGGAUGAAGGUCCUUGGAUUGUAAACUCCUGUCAGCAGGGAAAAAGCGACUUGACCUCAUACGUCAGGGAGUUGAUUGUACCUGCAGAGGAAGCCCCGGCUAACUCUGUGCCAGCAGCCGCGGUAAUACAGAGGGGGCAAGCGUUAUUCGGAAUUAUUGGGCGUAAAGGGCGCGUAGGCGGCAUGGCAAGUGGAUGGUGAAAUCCCUCGGCUUAACCGAGGAACUGCCGUCCAAACUGCUUCGCUUGAGACCGGGAGAGGUGAGUGGAAUUCCCAGUGUAGCGGUGAAAUGCGUAGAUAUUGGGAGGAACACCAGUGGCGAAGGCGGCUCACUGGACCGGUACUGACGCUGAAGCGCGAAAGCGUGGGGAGCAAACGGGAUUAGAUACCCCCGUAGUCC